GGUGGUGGUGGUGGUGGUGGUGGUGGUGGUGGUGGUGAUGCUCUUAGAGUGAAGAUUCAUACUGUAGCAACUCAUAAAGGAGCGGUCCAUCUCGAUACCGAAUGCCUACCGCGGUGGGGGUGACAUACUGCAGAAUGUUAAUAGUCCUUCUCAACCUCCUGUCUACAAAAUGAGCAUCCCAAGCUGGGUAUCUCUUUCUUGGCAUGUCAAUCUUAAUGAGGGGCCCUUCUGGGAGGUAAGGACGCCCCGACGGGGUUGCGGGCCCCAUGGGUCUCACUUGGAAAACGGGCAAGCAAGUGUCAGCCGUGAGAUCCUCCUGUUGUUCCGUUACGGCUCUGGUAGGCGUGACCUGGGUCCCCCGGUACCCAGGGGUCUGAGGCGCCAUGGGCUCAACAUCGGGGGGCAAAGGGAUGCCCCAGAGCAGCUCGGCACAACAGGAGCUGGCAAGGAUCUUAGCUCGUGGCCCCAUGGGAUGCAGCACACCAUAGUAUAAGAGCAUCAUUGAGAUCCCAGCCACAAAGCUAAUAAAGACACAACACAGUGCUGGCACCGCAAAGGAGUCAGUGGUCUCCGGGUUUCUGUAAAAAUACCAAAGGAACGUCAAGGCAGCAUUCUCGGUCAAGACUAUCGUAUAAUAUGCAAACAUUCGAUAUCGAGUCCGCCCUUCCUUGACGUUAAACCAGCAGAAAAUGUACACAAUCCCUACCACCAUGUUGAAGAGGAUCUCCUCCCACUUGGACAUGCAGAAGUCUGUUCCGCCAUGGAUGAUCCAGAAGGCCAUGGCGCACCAGUGAACCACCACGAAGAUCCCGAAGUAGAGCUGGAAGAUGGAAGCAAAGAGGGCAAAAGAGAUAACUCUGGAUGAGAUGGUGAAGAGGCGCCAGAAGAGGUGGAUGAGGGCCCCUCUGUAGCUCAUACUCUUCUUGUCGUCCCUGGAGUCCCGCAGCAGCUUGUGAUAGGAGGCUAGCACCCAAGCCAGGGACAUCAGGGAAGUCACAGAGGAGACAC
rnacentral:lncRNA from 1 species